rnacentral:rRNA from 1 species
AGGACGAACGCUGGCGGCGUGCCUAACACAUGCAAGUCGAACGAGGUCCAUGCAGUGGCAACACUGCGGACGACCUAGUGGCGAACGGGUGAGUAACACGUGAGGAACUUGCCCCGGAGACCGGGAUAAGCCCCCGAAAGGGGGUCUAAUACCGGAUGUCCUCACCGAGUCGCAUGGCUUGGUGAGGAAAUGGAUUCCGCUCCGGGAGAGCCUCGCGGCCUAUCAGCUAGUUGGUGGGG